UAAGUCUCCUCAGCGGUCUCGAGCACUGCAGUUGUCGUGACACAUUGUGUCGUAUUGUGUCGCAAUAAUAUCUUCAAGCUCCUUCUAAAGAAACGAGAGUGAAACAAGCGGUUCGCCAGCACGAGAUACGUUCGAACAGAACUAAUUCGUGGACUUCUCUCGUACGUAUACCAUGUAAAACCAUGAUGAGCCGCGUGUGCUGUUAACUGGUGGAUGAUUUCGACCAAGAAAGUCUUACUUUCAGUAGCCUUCCGGUUUCUCUUUUCUCCGCGGUAUUCUUACCUUUAUUUUCCUCACAAAUUCAGUGCAGAUAUGCGUUAAGUGUCGACACGAGUCUUCAUUUUUGGAAGUACCCUCUUUCAUUUCGGUGAUGGAUUAAGGACAACGUGGUUCAAUCAUCAAUCUCAGGAAGCAGUAAAUCGCAAGAACUGCUAAGAUGCCGAUAGAAUUCUUGGACCGGCUUCCAAUGCCAAAUCUCCGGCUGUAUACGGCAAUAAGCUUCGGCGUGUUAUCCUGUUCGAUAUACUAUGCCGUUCAAAUCAUCAAAGACCCGGCAUGGAAGAUCACCCACACUUACGUGGACUCCGAAAAUGACUCGGCCAACAACAUCGACUUCGAUCCGAGGGAUUCCGCAAUGUAUUUGAAGGAGUUGCUCGAGUGCAUGCUCGACGAGCCUAUCUGCAUCUGGACUUUAAUCAACAUGGCGUACUGCGUGCUAAUUCUGCUGGGUAAAACAAUUCAGAAGCUCGUAUUCGCCGAGCUGCGAGUCUCCGAAAGGCAACACCUAAAGGACAAGUUUUGGAACUUCGUGUUCUACAAAUUUAUCUUCGUAUUCGGCGUGCUGAAUGUGCAGUACAUGGACGAGGUGCUACUGUGGUGGGCUUGGUUCACCGCGCUUGGCUUCCUAAGUCUCCUCAGUCAACUAUGCAAGGAUCGAUUCGAAUACUUAUCGUUUUCGCCUACAACACCAGGUUGGAGUCAUGCAAAACUUCUUGGACUUCUCGCGACUAUUCUUGCGUUAUCCUCCUUCAUGUUACUCCUAUGCACAGCUGCAGCAUUCUUCUUCGUUUCAUUCAAUACCUUUGUCUUCACUGCAGCUGAGUGCAUUUUACUAGGUGUCAGAACAAUUCAUGUAAUGGUGCGAUACAUAAUUCAUCUGUAUGAUACUCGAGGGGCUGGAACUUCUUCGCAACGUUCUUGGGACAAAAGGGGUCCUCUAACUUACUAUACAGAUCUAACAGCAGAAUUAAUAGUGCUAGCUGUAGAUUUUCUUCACCAUGUCCACAUGCUACUUUGGAGUAACAUAUUCCUAAGCAUGGCAUCCCUUGUAAUCUGUAUGCAACUUAGGUAUCUUUUCUAUGAGAUACAACGCAAGAUCACAAAGCACAGGAACUAUCUUGCUGUAUUAAAUCAUAUGGAACAAAACUAUCCAAUGGCAAGUCAGGAAGAGUUAGCAGAGAACUCAGACAACUGUGCCAUUUGCUGGGAGAAAAUGGAAACAGCUAGAAAGCUACCUUGUGCUCAUCUUUUCCACAAUUCCUGUUUACAGUCUUGGUUAGAACAGGAUACUUCCUGCCCAACUUGUAGGCUUGCCUUAAACAUGCAACCUAGCCACCUUGUAAACACACAAGAAUUAUCAACUGAACUACAAACGCCAGCUAGACGAAAUGAGAAUCAUUUCUUUCAUUUCGAUGGCUCAAGAUAUGUGUCCUGGUUACCAAGCUUCUCCGUUGAAGUUUCCCACAAUAGACUACGUGGGAAUAUUUCUACUAUUACACAUAACAACUCGCAAAUGGAUACUAUGAUUAGACAGGUGCAGCAACUAUUUCCACAAUUCCCCCGCAAUCUAAUCGUAGAAGACCUCAGAGGGACGAGAUCAAUCGAAUGGACCGUUGCAAAUAUUCUGGAUGGGGUCCUGAUGUCUCCUCAUCAUAUAAUCGAAGAACCGCAAUUGGAAUCCGUCCUUCAAAUCCAUACCAGUACCACAGAAACUAGUGUUUCUUUGAAUACCCCUUCGAUGCCGCUACCUUCAGAUCCAAGAUUUGAUAUUCCUCUUGCUGACAGGCGUAGCAGCAAAUCCAGAUGAUUUAGCGUAUAUAUGAUGCGUGUCUUACAGGGUUUCUAAGCUAUAAUACUUUUGCCAUGAUCGUCGAAUCCGAACUAACAUCGGAGACGUUGUCAGAACCAUAGUUUCGGAAGGAUUUGAGAUUAAAUAUUUUAUCUCCCUUUUAAAGUCUGACACUUUACACUUCCUAACAAAGAACAUAAAGACCUAAGGAACGAACCAUAUGUACGAACCAAUAUUGCACUCUCAUUAACUGGAUAUGUCGAAAUCUAGCAUAAACAGGGACUGUCGCCUCUCACUCGCCACUGGAGUUGCAUCAUAGAACGCCGUGGCGACUGAGAGUCGCCUCUCGAGCGCAAAGGGUUAAAACAAAAUCCAUAAAGAAAAUCGGUGAAGAACCUUCGAGCCUAGGAGGACGGUUUUCCAAAUCAUCGUCCGAACGAGAACAAAUACUGCAGCGUCGCAAAGAACUGCUAAGACUCACUGCUAAGGAGAAAUAUCUCGAGAAGUGCCGAGAAAAGCAUGAAGCUGACGAAAGUGUUUCUAAUGCCACCUCUUAAAACAGGGAAAACAGAGAGAUAUAUGCUGAUAAAAAGUU